AGCUUACUGUUAGUGGUCGAGUUUUUCUGGAAGUGGGCUUCCGCGAUCGCGGGGACCAACGCCCUGAGCUCUUGUGCCCAAACGGGAUCGCCAGGUUUUUUGAUGCAGAUCGAAAGGAACUGGCCCCGGAGCCUACAACCUGACGCAGGUGGACAAGGUGGAGGAGAGAGAAUUCCUUGGCAGCAGCAUUAUGAACAAAUGCGGGGCUGAGAAACAGCAUGGUGGCCUUGACUAAGUGUAUGGCGACAGCAGUUGGGGUAACAUGUGACCUGGAUCUGAUCAUUGUGAUUCAAGUCAGCGUCACUGUGGGGGUUUCAGGAAACAUUUUUUGAAAGGGAGCAACUUGGCUGGAACACUCCAUCAAUUCUUUGCCCUGUGCAUUUUUGCCCUUCUUUCUGCCUCUCAGGAACGCAGACAGAAUUCCUGGAGGAACAGCAGCUGUCAUACAUCCAUGAUGAUGAAAGUCAUGGGACAAAGGCAAUUGAGCAAGAAGACAGGAGCUGGGGACAUUCUUGACAGUAGUGCCACCUCUGGAUGAUUUACCUUGGGACCUCUUAUUAAAUGAGAUAGGACUCCUUCCUGUUUAAUCCACUGGAGUAGAAUUUUCUGUUACAGUAAAUCCAGUCCUAAGUGAUGAUAUUGGCUAAUACAUGUUAGCACCUGCUAUGUCCCAGUACAGUUUAAGCAUUUUAUCUACUAAUGUUUUAAAUUUUCUCAAUGACCUUAUGAGAUAGGCCAAAGGUUCUCAGAGUGUGGUUCCUGGACCAGCAGCAUCAGCAUCACCUGGAAACUUGUUAGAAAUACAAAUUUUAGGGCCUGGCCCUAGACCCACUGAAUCAGAAACUCUAGAGGUGAGGAUCUAGCAGUCUGUUUAAAAAGCCCUCCAUGCUAUUUUGAUGAAUGCCAAAGUUGGACAGCUACUGAGAUAGGGUAUUGUUACUCUCCCCAUUUUACAGAUAAGGAAACAGCUGAAUUUAUGUCACUUGCCCAAUGUCCCACAACUAGCAAGACUGACUCCUUGGAGUUCAUCACAUGUAAGAACUGCUUUAGAGCAGUGGUAUUCAAACUUUGAAAGCAUAUCCUGUUGAAAAAUUAUGUAUCCACUACUACAUUUUUAAGUUGACAUCUAAAAAUUUCACAUCAUAAGUUUAAAGAGUUGUAAAAAAUGUGAUUUCCGGUAUAUUGUGAAUUAUGACAUUUUAAAAUGUGUUCCAUCACUCCUCUAAAUGUAUUCAGUGGUUUCUAAAUACCAUAGUGAUUUAAAUCUAUCAUCAAAUUAAAAAAAAAAACAAGCUUUUUUUUUAAACAUUAGAUAUUUUACAUCUUUUUCUCUUUUUUUUUUUUUUUUUUGAGACAGAAUCUCGCUGUGUCACACAGGCUGGAGUGCAGUGGCACAAUCUUGGCUCAUUGCAACUUCCACUUCCCAGGUUCAAGCAAUUCUCCUGCCUCAGCUUCCCGAGUAGCUGGGAUUACAGGCGUAUGCCACCAUGCCCAGUUAAUUUUUGUAUUUUUAGUAGAGACGGGUUUUUAUCAUGUUGGCUAAGCUGGUCUUGAACUCCUGACCUCAAGUGAUCUGCCCACCUUGGCCUUCCAAAGUACUGGGACUACAGGCAUGAGACACCAAGCCUGGCCAUCUUUCUCUUUUUUACUUGAACUCAGUCUUUUUAUUCUUCCUCCGUUCCUCUCUCUCUUUUUUUUUUUUUUCUUUUUUUUUCUUUUUUUUUGAGACAGUCCCACUAUGUCACCCAUGCUGGAGUGCAGUGGCGCAAUCUCGGCUCACUGCAGCAUCCACCUCCCAGAUUCAAGCGAUUCUCCUGCCUCAGCCUCCUGAGUAGCUGGGACUACAGGUUCACGCCACCAUGCCCGGCUAAUUUUUUUGUAUUUUUAGUAGAGAUGGGGUUUCACCAUGUUGGCCAGGAUGGUCUCGAUCUUCUGACCUCGUGAUCUGCCUGCCUUGGCCUCCCAAAGUGCUGGGAUCACAGGCAUGAACCACUGCUCCUGGCCUCUUUCUUUCUUUUCUAUUCUUUUCCAUGUGCCCUCCCCAAACAUCUCUCUCCCUACUUCCCUCCCUCCCUACUUUCCUUCCUUCCUUCCUCUCUUUCUCUUCCUCUCUAUUUUUCUUUUUUUCCUUCUUUUUUGAGACCAUCUCACUCUGUUGCCCAGGAUGGAAUGCAGUGGCACAAUCUUAGCUCACUACAACCUCUGCCUCCCAGGUUCAAGCAAUUCUCCUGCCUCAGCCUCCCAAGUAGCUGGGACCACAGGCAGAUGCCACUACGCCCAGCUAAAGUUUUUUUUUUUUUUUUUUUUCUUAGAGACAAGGGAUCUCAUUAGGUUGCCCAAACUGGUCGUGAACUCCUGGGCUCAAGCACUCUGCCUGCCUCGGCCUCCCAAAGUGUUGGGAUUACAGGCGUGAGCCACUGUGCAUGCUGGGACUGAUAUUUUCUAAUUCAUGUUUCCAUGGAAGAAUAUUCCUCACUGCUAGAAUGAGACCAGAGGUCAAAAUCAGCUCUAUGUCUGUUUGUCAUUCUUAUGGAUAUGAGAAAUUGUGUUCACACAAGUAGAUAGGAAUGAAAGGAAUUUUGAAAUAGAAAUGCAGUUCUAAUUUUUCUAACUUCCAUAUUACGUACCAAAAAUCACAUAAGAAUCUAUCGUAAGAUUCUCUAGUCUUCUCUCAUCUGGUAAUCUUCUUUUCCACGCUUUCUUUGUAACCCCCUCAUGUGGCCAAUAUUUACAGUAAUGUUUUCCAACUUCUUUUUCUUCAGCUCACAGUAAUAAAUACAUUUUACAUCUUGA
rnacentral:lncRNA from 1 species